AUUUAAUCUGAUUUCUUUUCUUUCACAUCAACUGCAAAGCAAUAUGAAGGCUUUGAAGAUGUCACAUUUUGGAGGAUUGAAAUGAUGGAAAAAGAUAACAAAAUAAGGUGAUUUAAAAGUAGGUUGGUCUAUUACAUGGUUUGAAUAGAAGAUUACGAUUUUUUGGAAGAAAGAUGUGAUUCAAGUCAGAUUGGACUUUGAAAACAAAAAUUUGGAGAUAGUCCUAAACUUCAACAUGAUCAAGGGAUGGGAAA
rnacentral:misc_RNA from 1 species